rnacentral:rRNA from 1 species
UACGGAGGGUGCAAGCGUUAUCCGGAUUUACUGGGUUUAAAGGGUGCGUAGGUGGGUAAGUAAGUCAGUGGUGAAAUCUUCGAGCUUAACUCGGAAACUGCCAUUGAUACUAUUUAUCUUGAAUACUUUGGAGGUAAGCGGAAUAUGUCAUGUAGCGGUGAAAUGCUUAGAUAUGACAUAGAACACCAAUUGCGAAGGCAGCUUACUACACAGUUCUUGACACUGAGGCACGAAAGCGUGGGGAUCAAACAGG